AUUGAUUUCGGAUGCAGGGAUCUCCUGCAAGAAUCUGGCUACAAUAGAUUCUGUGGAACACUGGGAGUGCUCUUAUUAAGACUAGUGUGUGGGCGCUUUCCAAAACCCAGAGACAUGCAGAUGAUAAAUGAUGACAUCUGGUGGGAGCCUGGUUUGUCGAAGCGUCAUCAAAUAGACAUGAAGACAGAAGUAAAAUGUAAAUAGUGCAAAUGAAAUGGAAACUUUAUUUGCAUUAUUUACUGCCACAGUUCCAGAGUCAGUGAUCUGACAUGAGUGGCUAUCGCUCCAUGUGAAAGCUGUUCCUGACACAGCCACCCCAGGUGUUUGUGCAUGUGGCGGCCUGACAUAGGUGGUCCAAGCCUCCAAGCCUUGUUAGCUUGGAGGCUUGGUUUGAGGCAGUAAUAUUUGCAUCUGGCAGGAUUGCAUAUUUGGUGACCGCAUACGUAAAUGCAAUGUACGACCCAAUGUACUCCUGGGUCUUCAACACUGUUCUGC